GGAAAAGAAACUAACAAGGAUUCCCCUAGUAACGGCGAGUGAAGCGGGAAGAGCUCAACAUUGUAAUCUGGCUGCUUCGCAGUCCGAGUUGUAGUCUAUAGAAGCAUGAUCCGCGCCGGCCCUUGGGCAUGUCUGUUGGAACGCAGUGUCAAAGAGGGUGAAAAUCCCGUACAUACCAAGGACGACCGUGUGCAUUGUGGUCUGCUCUCUAAGAGUCGAGUUGUUUGGGAAUGCAGCUCUAAUUGGGUGGUAAAUUCCAUCUAAAGCUAAAUAUCGACGAGAGACCGAUAGCGAACAAGUACAGUAAUGGAAAGAUGAAAAGUAGCCUGCAGAGGCAAUGAAACAAUACGUGAAACCGUUUGUAGGGAAGCGAUGGAACCUUUUCACGCUGCGAGGGUUCAGCUUGGCUUCGGCUUAGUGUAUUCCCUCGUUUUGCGGACCAGCAUCAGUUUGCUUCGCAGUAUAAGGGUGAUUGGAACGUGGCUUCUCCGGAAGUGUUAUAGCCUUUCACUGGAUGCUGUGUCGCAGACUGAGGACUGCAGUGCGCCGUAAGGCAUGGUCUUCGGGCCACGAGCACUUAGGAUGCUGGGCGAAUGGGUUUCAACGACCCG
rnacentral:rRNA from 1 species